AUUGAACGCUGGCGGCAGGCUUAACACAUGCAAGUCGAGCGGUAGCACAGGGGAGCUUGCUCCCUGGGUGACGAGCGGCGGACGGGUGAGUAAUGUCUGGGAAACUGCCUGAUGGAGGGGGAUAACUACUGGAAACGGUAGCUAAUACCGCAUAACGUCGCAAGACCAAAGAGGGGGACCUUCGGGCCUCUUGCCAUCAGAUGUGCCCAGAUGGGAUUAGCUAGUAGGUGGGGUAAUGGCUCACCUAGGCGACGAUCCCUAGCUGGUCUGAGAGGAUGACCAGCCACGCUGGAACUGAGACACGGUCCAGACUCCUACGGGAGGCAGCAGUGGGGAAUAUUGCACAAUGGGCGCAAGCCUGAUGCAGCCAUGCCGCGUGUGUGAAGAAGGCCUUCGGGUUGUAAAGCACUUUCAGCGAGGAGGAAGGUGGUGAGCUUAAUACGUUCAUCAAUUGACGUUACUCGCAGAAGAAGCACCGGCUAACUCCGUG
rnacentral:rRNA from 1 species